CCUACGGGUGGCAGCAGUGAGGAAUAUUGGUCAAUGGGCGCAAGCCUGAACCAGCCAAGUCGCGUGAAGGAAGACGGUCCUCUGGAUUGUAAACUUCUUUUGUCGGGGAGCAAAAGACGCCUCGCGAGCCGCUCCGAGAGUACCCGAAGAAAAAGCAUCGGCUAACACCGUGCAAGCAGCCGCGGUAAUACGGAGGAUGCGCGCGUUAUCCGGAUUUAUUGGGUUUAAAGGGUGCGCAGGCGGAAGAUCAAGUCAGCGGUAAAAUCGAGGGGCCCAACCUCGUCGAGCCGUUGAAACUGGUUGUCUUGAGUGAGCGAGAAGUAGGCGGAAUGCGUGGUGUAGCGGUGAAAUGCUUAGAUAUCACGCAGAACUCCGAUUGCGAAGGCAGGAUACCGGCGCUCAACUGACGCUCAGGCACGAAAGUGUGGGUAUCGAACAGGAUUAGAUACCCCGGUAGUC
rnacentral:rRNA from 1 species